AGAAAUCAAACCAUUGUCAGUGCGUACGACAUAAGUUUUUUUUAAAUCAUUAUCUUCAUUGUAACACUGUAAACAAAACGGAAAAAAUGUUUUUAAUAUCGAAAUAUUAACUGUUGGUCGAGAAGAUAGUUUAUACAAAACAAUAUGUGUCUGACAUUGUGACUGUUACUUUAAAUUAUUAAAUGUUUUAUGUUUAAUUGACGCAACAAUCUUAUGAACCUGAUAAAGGUAUGUGACAAACAUAUAAUGCAUUUUUAAUUGAUUACUUCACAUAUACAUAUCAAGAAAAAUAAAUAAAAGUUAUCUUUUUAAAGAGUAUAAGUAAAGAAUUUACAAGCAUGUUUUUUUUAUUAUAUCCUUAAGUUUAGCCUUCAUGUUGUAUUUUGUUAAUUCUCAGUUUGUUUUAGAUGCAGAGGAACAAGCUUGUUACUGGUCAUCCUGGAGCUUUUGGUCCAAAUGCAGUAUUACUUGUGGAAACGGAGUACAAGUCAGAAUAAAACAACAGAUGAAUAAUACUAGGCUAUGUAGUUACAAUGAAACACAUGAUAAUAAGAUCUGUUCCAGAGGCACUUGUCCAGUUGACGACGUUCUAUUUGACAUGAGAUUUAGUCGAAAAUCAAUGCAUAAGAAAUUGUUUAUAUCAGCUGAUAAUACAAUCCUAAGUAACUUCCAUACCAUCGAAACUUCAAGCAGUGAUGAGGCACAGUUACAGAACUAUAAAGGAACGAUUUCCGACAUUUGUGUAGGAAACAAUGAAUUAAUUUACUAUGAAGUGAACUAUACAUACACAAUAGUCAAUAAAUUAAAUGCAAAUUA